rnacentral:rRNA from 1 species
UACGAAGGGGGCUAGCGUUGUUCGGAAUUACUGGGCGUAAAGCGCGCGCAGGCGGCUAUCUAAGUCAGUGGUGAAAGCCCGGAGCUUAACUCCGGAACUGCCAUUGAAACUGUUUAGCUUGAGGACGAGAGAGGUGAGUGGAAUUCCCAGUGUAGAGGUGAAAUUCGUAGAUAUUGGGAAGAACACCGGUGGCGAAGGCGGCUCACUGGCUCGUUUCUGACGCUCAGGCGCGACAGCGUGGGGAUCAAACAGG